CGCAAACGCUGUCUCGGCCGGUGUGGAGAGGCCGGCCACACCGGACCGCUCUGUGAGGCGUAUAGUAAAAGUGCAAUUGAGUGUGCAAGUGGCGGAUGUUGCUGUCUCCAGUUGCCGGCGGUUGCUGCUUCAAGCUUUUGUAUCAGUUUUGUAAAUCCCCGAAACUGUGUCUACAGUUCGUGUUUCUGUGUCCAGUUGGUGUCUCUCCAAGUCCAGCUUCAGCUAAACCCAAAGAGCAAAUGUGGAGCACACUGAUGCUACCCAUGUGUAGUGUCACAUUGAAGCUGCUAAUGUCACGGUAGCCAGGAAACAAUGCCCUGCAGAAAAGAGCCGACCACGACAGGUGAAGACUGGAUUGGAAAGGGCAAAUUGGAGGUAAGCAGCGGAUGGUGUAUUUCCAUUGUUUGUGUGGAUCACUAACUAUCAGU
rnacentral:lncRNA from 1 species